CAUGGGGACACAAAGAUUUAUGGCAAAUUGAGACUUAUCUAAGACAGUUCAGCCAUGUCUACAACUACAACUUUGAAACUAAACAAAUAGGCUUUAUCUUCGUGGCAGUUGAUGGUUAUGUCCUUCUUCAUCUGCAACGGUUUGAAGAAGAUGCCCAUUACAUUGAAUAAAUUCAACAUUCAACAGUGGAAUCACGAAAUUCAACAUUGAAGAGAACCUAAAUCAUUUUAGAUUUUGUACAACAAAUCGAUGGAUGUAUACAGUUCCAGGGCAGUACAUUUAUCCUUUUGAUGAAUAUUACCAACAAUGCAUCAGGACUUACAAGUAUAUCUAAUUUUUUUUU